rnacentral:rRNA from 1 species
UCAGACGAUGCGUCAUGCAUAUCAAUAAGCGGAGGAAAAGAAACUAACAAGGAUUCCCUUAGUAACGGCGAGUGAAGCGGGAAGAGCUCAAAUUCGAAAUCUUCAAGGUUUUACCUUGACGAAUUGUAGUUUAAAGAAGUGUUUUCUGUUGAAGUUUUGGUAAAAGUUCUUUGGAAUAGGACAUCAUAGAGGGUGAGAAUCCCGUAUUUGACCAUUAUUUUCAGCUGUGUGAUACACUUUCAAAGAGUCGGAUUGUUUGGGAAUGCAGUCCAAAAUGGGUGGUAAAUUUCAUCUAAAGCUAAGUAUUGGCGAGAGACCGAUAGCGAGCAAGUACCGUGAGGGAAAGAUGAAAAGAACUUUGAAAAGAGAGUUAAACAGUACGUGAAAUUGUCAAAAGGGAAGCGUUUGACACCAGUGUUGUUUUCUCGAAAAUCGAUUAAAAAGAGUUGGAUUUUGUGUUGUAUUGACCUUAUCAGCUUUCUGCACUCUUUUCCUGUCUUUUUUAAUGCACUUUUCGUUUAACAAGUCAACAUCAAUUUCUUUUGUUGUAAAAGGGUCAUUGGAAGGUGGCUUUCUCUUCGGAGAAAGUGUUUAUAGCCUUUGAUCUCUGCAAUCGGAGAGACUGAGGUCUGCAGCGUAGAUCCUUCGGGGUUAGAUACAUUUGUGCUAAGCUACAGCUUUUCAUAGACAACUUGUUGACUAUGUUUAGUCUUGUAACUUACCCGCUUAUGCUAUUUUACCUACGCUUAGGAUGUUGAUAUGCAUGACUGAUAU